rnacentral:lncRNA from 1 species
GGGUCCCCGGGGGCGACGCAAGCCGGCAGGGUCGGCAAAGGUUAAUUAAAUGCCCCCCACACACCCACACCAAAGGAAAAGGACCCUCCUGAGCAUCCCCAGACUGUUUGAUCAGAGGAAAUUGAGUUUGUCUUUUGCCCCUUCACCCUUCCCGUGUCAUCCAUCAGGACUGUGGGCUGGGGGGCGGGGGGGUGCAUAAAGUCGGGCUGGGCAGAGGAAACGCGAUCGGGUCCUUCCCUGCGUAGCCGCAGAGGACGUGGGCGCGCACGGGGCCCGGUCCGCGGCGGCGACUGCUCCGCGUUUUAGCUCGCGCCCGGCCGCGGCGGCGAGGGCGGGGUGUGCGGGGCCGGAGCCGAGCGCCUCACUCACACUGCAGCCCGCGCACCCGGCAGCCCCGGGACCGGGACGGCGAGCACCUCGGGGACGCCCGUGCUCCGCGGGCCGCAGCCUCGCCCGCCACCGACGCUGACGCCGCCGCGCACCGCGCACCGCAGCCCCGAGAGGACCGCACCGCCGAGUCCGCGCCCCCGGCCGAGAUGACAACUCCUCCCUGUGUUCUCAGAUGAUGGAAGGAUCAGGGGCUUUGUCUAAAAAGGCACUAAUCCCACUCACGAAGGCCCCACCCUCAUGACCUAAUCACCUGCCCAGGCCCGCACCUUCCAAUGCCAUCUCCUCGAUGAUGAGUUUCAGCAAAUGAGCACACACAGUGAGACCAUACUAGGCCAGCAGAAUAUGCUAAAAUACAAGAUAAACAACUAAACCAGGAGUCUGGCCCCGCUACAGGACAAUUGUCCCAACCCUUCAAAAAGUCAGUAUCAUUGAAAGAAAAAUGGAGAUGCCACUCUAGACUAAAAAGACAAAAGAGACUGAGCAACCCAAUGCAGAUGUAUGAGUUUGAUUGGAUCCUGCCCACCUGGAUGCACACUGGAGGAGAUACACUGGACCCUUGACUUACGAACUCGUUUGGUUCCUGAGGGCUGGUUAUAACUCAGUCAAGACAGCUGAGAUCUGGAUGUUUAUCUGGGUACACACUAUAGAUAACAAGAGGC